CCCUUAGAUGUUCUGGGCCGCACGCGCGCUACAAUGAUGAAUUCAACGAGUUUAUAACCUUGGUUGAAAAGCCUGGGUAAUCUUUUGAACUUUCGUCGUGAUGGGGCUAGACCCUUGCAAUUAUUGGUCUCCAACGAGGAAUUCCUAGUAAACGCAAGUCAUCAGCUUGCAUUGAUUACGUCCCUGCCCUUUGUACACACCGCCCGUCGCUACUACCGAUUGGAUGGCUUAGUGAGACCCUCGGACCGAUAGGCUGUCGCCGCGGCAACGUGGCGACCGGCCCGUCGGGAAGAAGGUCAAACUUGACUGUCUAGAGGAAGUAAAAGUCGUAACA
rnacentral:rRNA from 1 species